rnacentral:rRNA from 1 species
UGGGGAAUUUUCCGCAAUGGGCGAAAGCCUGACGGAGCAACGCCGCGUGAGGGAGGAAGGCUCUUGGGUUGUAAACCUCUUUUCUCAAGGAAGAAGAAAGUGACGGUACUUGAGGAAUCAGCCUCGGCUAACUCCGUGCCAGCAGCCGCGGUAAUACGGAGGAGGCAAGCGUUAUCCGGAAUUAUUGGGCGUAAAGAGUCCGUAGGUGGCCAUUCAAGUCUGCUGUCAAAGCGUGGAGCUUAACUCCAUUUCGGCAGUGGAAACUGAAUAGCUAGAGUUCGGUAGGGGUAGCGGGAAUUCCCAGUGUAGCGGUGAAAUGCGUAGAGAUUGGGAAGAACAUCGGUGGCGAAAGCGCGCUACUGGGCCGAAACUGACACUGAGGGACGAAAGCUAGGGGAGCGAAAGGG